rnacentral:rRNA from 1 species
UACGACGAGGGUGAAAGCGGGGACCGCAAGGCCUCGCGCGAUUGGAUGAGCCGACGUCGGAUUAGCUAGUUGGCGGGGUAAAGGCCCACCAAGGCGACGAUCCGUAGCUGGUCUGAGAGGAUGAUCAGCCACACUGGAACUGAGACACGGUCCAGACUCCUACGGGAGGCAGCAGUGGGGAAUAUUGGACAAUGGGCGCAAGCCUGAUCCAGCAAUGCCGCGUGUGUGAAGAAGGCCUUCGGGUUGUAAAGCACUUUUAUCAGGAACGAAAAGCGUUGGAUUAAUACUCUGACGUGCUGACGGUACCUGAGGAAUAAGCACCGGCUAACUUCGUG